ensembl:misc_RNA Metazoa_SRP Metazoan signal recognition particle RNA
GCUGGGCGUGGUGGCGCAUACCUGUAAUCCCAGCUACUCAGGAGGCUGAGGCAGGAGAAUUGCUUACACCCAGGAGGUGGAGGUUGCAGUGAGCCAAGAUUGUGCCACUGCACUCCAGCCUGGGCGACAGAGCAAGACCCUGUCUCCC